ensembl:Mt_tRNA
GGCUUUGUAGUAUAAAUUACGUUGAAUUGCAAGUUCAGGGAAGUAGUCAAGUGGCUACCGAAGCU